UCACCCAUAAGAGGAUGGACCCGUUCCUGUAGAAUAAAAAGCUUCUCCCGAACACAUAUAUGUUGAGAGUACCUAUCUCUUAUUAUAAUUUAUUGACUUCAAAAAAAUGCUGAGUACACGGAAGAAUCUAGAAACCAAUGGACCAGACCGGCUCCUUGAUAAAUGCUUAAAGAACUUCCACUACUGACAAAAAGCAGAGCAGUUCCUGGAAGGAAAAUGAGCACCUCGGUUCCGGCAGUGCUGAGAUGCAGAGAUGCAGUAUCUUUGGAUUCCUCAGCAGGAGAGACAGUGUGUUUGGCUGCCCUCCAAACGCUUCAUCCUGACUGAGGUCAGCUUACUGCACUGAGAGUCAGUAGUGAGAGGAGGAAAUUAGAUAAAUGAAGAGCUCGUCUACAUUUCCUCUGUCCAAACACCUGAGUCAGCAUUGUGAGAGUAAGAGGAGCAAAAAAAAAAAAAAAAUUUUGGAUAUGGAUACACAUGUAGCAGUGUGUACAUUUCUGAAAAAACAAAUAAAAAUAACCAAAGGCAGUAUGUUGGGUUUAAUUACUUCCUCUUAUAUUAUGCAUAUGCUUAUCACUGAUCAUUUAUAUUGUUAAAUUAUACUUAAGCUUUUAUUCAAAGUAAAAUAAUUCAACUGCCAUGCCAUAUCCAUUUGGGUCCUCUGAAAAUUUAGUCAGUUUUGCUUUUUUCUCUUUAGCUUGCAGCGACCUCUAAUGGUUACAAUUGUAAACGAUUUAGACUCUGACACUCAUAUUAUUAGUAUGUUUAACUUUGAUUUGUUUAACAAAAUAGUUUUAUUCAUCUGUUUCAUAUAUAUUUAUAAAACACUAAAUUCAUCGGGGUUUGUCUCGUUUUUUUCUCUGAUUAAAAACUGACAAAGCUGAAUAUAAGUACAUUCAAAUUUUUGCUGAAAUAAAAUGGUGUUAACGA